CCCGAGACACAAAGCAGAACCCAGCUCGUGCCCGCCGGGCCCCGGAUCCCUCAGCCACAGAGGAGGCCUCCCCCCAGAAGAGAGGAAAUUCCACAGCUCUGAGCUCCUGAGGUAUUCAGAAUAUCCUGUCCGUGGCAAGGUCUUCCCACAGUCGUGAAAGAUUUACCGCUCCAGCCUCUUGGAUAUGUCAGAAGACAGGAAAAGAGAAAAGGAGCGCACGCUCCAACUAUUAACUCGCCGUCCUGGGCUUGGCACACUCUUAGGACGAGGGAGAAUGUGUUGAAGCUUGGGGCAGGCUUUUUACCAGCUGUGCGGAGAAAGCAGAGGAAACCGAGGGUGUUCACCGGAGGAAGUGGGAUGUGUAAUCUUGAUUUUGCAUGAAGACAGUCCGUGAAAAUACAAAAUACAGAGACUAAAUGCAAUUUCUUUUUCUCAGAGAUUUCCAAAAUAAGAUCCUCUCACCGCUAUGAUAUACCAUCCAGACAGGCAGUUCAGUUAUUUCUUUUCAAAAGGGAUGAAGUAAGUUGCUGAUCACGUUAUCUUGAAGGAACCAAAAGAGCGUGGAUUCCAUAUCUAACACAUUGCUUCUUCGGUUUAUCUCAGUUUUUGCGUCUGCUUUUGCAAGAGACAAUCCACAGAAUCAGCUGUUUUUGCUGUGAUUUCUUUUGUACCCCAGUUUACUCUUAAGAACUGUAUAAAAUAAUAAUGACAUGUAUUUACCAUCCAGAAAAGAACCACGGAAUAACUACAGGUACAAACCUAUUGCUUCUAUCACUACUGACAUUGCUACAAUACUUUAGAAAUUGUGUGAGUGAAGGAUGACUCUUUGAUGUAACAGGCUGUUCCUUUUUUCUGCCCCCCACCCCAACAGUGUCACUUGAUUUAGGAGAAACUACUGCAUCCCUUCUAUAAAAUUCCCUGAAAUUACUCUU